GUCUCAGUUCGGAUUGGAGUCUGCAACCCGACUCCAUGAAGCUGGAUUCGCUAGUAAUCGCGCAUCAGCCAUGGCGCGGUGAAUACGUUCCCGGGCCUUGUACACACCGCCCGUCAAGCCAUGGGAGCCGGGGGUACCUGAAGUCCGUAACCGCGAGGAUCGGCCUAGGGUAAAACUGGUGACUGGGGCUAAGUCGUAACAAGGUAUC
rnacentral:rRNA from 1 species